UUUAAGUUUUAUUCUUGCUUAAAUAUUUACUUUUUCUUUGAGUUAUAUGCAAGUUUUGUUAGACUAUAUGUUCUGUUUUCAGUAAUUUGAUUUAGUUAAUCAAGUGAUUUUGGAUUUAGCAAUUGUUUGAGUAUUGGUAUAAUUCGUGCCAGCAGCCGCGGUUAUACGAUUGAUACAAGUAAAUAUUAUUGGUUAAUACAGUUAUUAUACUUUGAGAUAAACUUAAAAUUUUGAUGGAGAAAUUUAAAUUUUUUUAUGUUUCUUUCUAUGAUUCUGUGAAACUUAAAUAAUAAACUAGGAUUAGAUACCCUAUUAUUUUAAAUGUCAAUUAUACUUACCAGGGUAUUAAUAGUUAAGGUCUUUAAACCCAAAGAAUUUGGCAGUAUCUCAUUCCAUUCAGAGGAACCUAUCCCAUGAUUGAUAGUACACGAUUAACUUUACUAAAUUUAUUUGUUUGUAUAUCUCCGUUAUCAGAAAAUCUUUUUAGAGUUAUAAUUUUCUUAAUUUAUAAUUAUAAAUUAUUUCAGGUCAAGGUGCAGUUAAUAAUUAAGAGGAGACGGGUUACAAUAAAUUUUUGUUUAUAACGGAUUUAAUGGUGAAACACUGUUAAUGAAGGUGGAUUUGAUAGUAAUUUGACAUAUUUAAUUUAAUUGAUAUUGGCUCUGAGGUGUGUACACAUCGCCCGACGCUCUCAUUAUUAAUAUUGACCAAUUAAUCUAUAAGGUAGAAUUUAAGUUAGAUGAGAUAAGUCGUAACAUAGUAGAUGUACUGGAAAGUGUAUCUAGAAAGAUU
rnacentral:ncRNA from 1 species